rnacentral:misc_RNA from 1 species
AAAAAAAAAAAAAAAUUCAUUUGCCGGCAGCAUGGCUUGCAUCAGAUUGUACGUUUUCAAGCAACUUGCUUUUGAUUCAAGUUUUCUUGCACAACCUGUAAAUAACAUGUCCCAUGUUUAAUAAAAUCAAGCAACCAGGUUGUGGUUCAGGCUUGAAAGAGACUACCAUACAUUGAACAAAAAUUUCUCAUUUGAAUGGGUGUAGCAAUUGCCAGUAAGUUUCACAGAUAGGAUCAUACUUGCACCGUCUGGACUCUGGAAGGUGCAGGGGUCAAGUUGUUGAUCUCAGGUAAAAAUGGUGAUGGAAUCAUCAGAUACCCCAAACCUGUGGACUCCACUCAAAUCCCACAUGGGAAGUCCACAAGUUUGUUUCUGCUGUGCAGUUUGCAUCCUACUGCAACCAAUUAUGUAAUUAAUCUUACACGCUGUUUGAAUGGAUCCACUGAUUACUAGUUUGUCCAGACUACAUAACUCAUUAAGUUGGCUGCUGAGUUUUAUAUCUUUAUAUAGAGCAUAACACCAUGCCUAUCACUUCUGAACACAAGUAAGAGAAAGCAAACCCAAUUACCACCAAAAUGCAUUGGUUUGGGUAAGUGCAGAAUGCUAUAUAACUCAUGCAUACCAGCAUUUUCUUAUGAACCAAGCUUUAGUGUGCCAUCGAAAGAUUGCAACACAGAUCAAGACUUCAUUGUCAACCCAAAAUUAAAACCAUGACAGUAGCAUUGGGAAAUGUAAUUCAAUUAACCAACAUACUGUCGGUAUCUAAGCAAAUUCUUCAAAAAGGUUGGCAAAGAGCUACUUUAUCUCACAUCAAGAAAAUUCUUUGGUAUGAAACUCAUCAUGUUUACCAUAAACGUUCUUGUACAAUGGCACAUAAAUAUCACCCUUGUAUCUCUUUUCCACGUCCACAAUCAGAGUUUGUUGGUCAAUAAAUGUUGUGAAGCAAUGAAGACCUUGGUAGAUGCCAGAAUCAUAGCUGCUAGUUUGGAUCUGGAGAUUCAACAAGGCAUUCAUCUUCGAUUUCCUUUCCUAUUCCCUUGAUUAUCAGGAUAUUUCUUGUCCAUGUUGCCUUCCAGCAUCUUUGCUGUUCGUUGAAUAGCUGCUAGCCUCUGGCGCUGGCUAUAACUUUUUCUUUUGCUCAAAAACAACAACCCCGCAGUGAGAACCAUCCCUCCUACUGCCCAAGAAACUUUUUCACUAAAAGGCAUUUCCUGCACCCACUGCUGAAAAUCUUUUAAAAUCCAUAAGUUCCCAUCUUUCUGGGGCAACUCAGAAUGAGAAGUCCUCCAUGACUCGGCAAUAGAAUCAAGACUAGCUCUACCACCAUAGCAAGAUGCCUCUUCUGUACCAAUGUCCGCAUCAUCAGGCGAUUUAACGGUGAAACCAGCAGAGAGGCAGAGCUCUGUACCAUUGGAGACCCAUUCAGCAGCUUUACCACAAACAAAGUCAUUCACUCCACAUGGUGCUAGAACCUCUGUUUUUGCAUCCAUUGAGAAGUAAGCAUUAGCACAAGCUUGAUAGACUGUGUCACAAAAAGAAGUGCAUAUAAGAGGAAGUCCAGGCUGAACACCAAUCUGGGGGUCACAGAUGGAACAUUCCAAUAAUUCCCAUAAUUGCAAGCAUUCUUGGCUAGCCUCCCCAGUUGCAGCCAGUCUCCUAACGGACAGCAAAGCAGGAUACGUCUGAGCUACGUCACAGCAAGUCUUUCUACGAAACACCCUGCAGAGGGUCAAAUCUUUGGAACCCUUGCUUACCUUUUUCGGAGGUUUCCCUUCAGUUGAAAAUGGUGGAAACCGACCACUUUUGGAAAUACACACUCCGUCACGUAUUCCUGCAUAAGCAGAAUAAACGGACUUAAUAUGAUGGAUGCAUAAAUACAUUUACAAUGAGACAAGUUGGUACUUGAUAGAACAAAGAUAAAUUUUCACUACAGCCAUCUUGCACCUGAGCAUUUAGCUCCUGCCUCCCUAAUCACCAAACUAAAACCAUCAACUUUGAAGAAAAAAAAUUAUAGACUCAUUUACAUUACUAUCACCAGGUUACCCAAGCCGUUGGUCAGCAUUAUCAUUUAUCCAGUAAUUUGGAUACCAAACUCCGUCCCCUCAUAAUGCUCUAGGGUUAAGACAAAUGCAUAUGCUAAAAGAAUACAGCAUAAACAACAACAUGAAUUAAAAGUAGUUGCACAUCCCAAGCCCUGUGUAAGUACAGAAAGAAUGAUACAUUGGGUUGGGAAUGUAUUGUAUCAAAAAAUCCCAACCUUCUAAUAACUACAUGGCAUAUGCCAUGUAAAUAAGCUAAAGCAUCACUGCCAUCAAAGCAUUCAAUCUCAUCACAAUGUUGGAUCUCGUCAUAUAUUAAUUCAACCAAUGCCCUUCCUUAAUAAGUAAAGAAGUCCCAAAAUUUUAAACCGAGUCAUAACCAAAAUAGACACAAGAGCCUGUUAGUGAAACCUCAUGACUCCAUAAGAGUUACUCCUUUUUGGAGAUCGAAACAACAUAAAGUAUAAUCCCUUCAAUUUUCUCAGAUACCAAGCGAAAAGUAAAGUUAAAUAAAACACAAGAUCAAGAUGUAACAUACAAAUUCAGAAACAUGAUAAAAUUUCUGAUUCUCAUUUCUAGACCAUACAUAUAUAUUAUUUUUUGCAAAUUCCCAUUCCUAAGCUAUCCCAAAUACAUGAAUUCU